GGAGGAAUGCAGCUCAGUGGUAGAGCAUCUGUCUUGCAGCCUUACAUGCAGGAGCUCCCAGGUUCAACCCCUGGUGUCUCCA